rnacentral:lncRNA from 1 species
CAAGAUAAAAGAAGGAAGAGAUAGCAAGUAACAAGAGUAUCCCGCUGUUUGAAAAGGCUCACAGCCACAGCCUGUGUAGCUUCUUUGCCUAUAGGAGAUCUACAGUGAUAACUGGAAAUUCUGACCCACUAAAAAGACUGUUGUCUUGGGUAAGUGAGGACCAGCCAGAAAGGUUUCAGGAGCAGCAUGCAGAAAAGAGGUUGUUCUUGCAACACAUAAAAGAAAAAGAAAGGUUAUUACCCCAAAUUAAAAAGUAAUUAUUAGUUUCUUGACAAAUUUUGCCCAGGAAAGCUUGAAAGCAAUUGUUUCACCUUGCACUAAGGACAGCAAAAGGAGAAAAGGAAGAAAACAGCCAAUUUUCUUAUUCAACAGUUAGUAAGCAUUAUAAAUGUUGGAUGCAAUAGGAACUGGAAUUGAUUGUGAAAGCCUGUGUCAAAUACUGUUCAAUACUUCCAUCCUACAUUUUUGUUUUCAGUUAGUUUGCAACUUUACCAUUACCUGCAUUUGAUAAAAACUUUCCCUUGGAGUUGUCUAAGCUGGGAUAGCACUUCAUAAAUAAUUCUAUGAACCUGAGUCAAAGUCAGAUAUUAACAGCACCUCAGGUCCAAGUUUCAAAUGAAAAAUAAGGGUCAGGGCAAGCACUUUGACAAUUAAGCAUUGCUAACCUAUGGUUAAAUUUCAAAUGCCACUCUGUUAGACUUUACUAGCAAGUGCAAUAAUAUUUCCAUUGUUAUCAUAAUACACCGCUGUCAGAACAUAUCAUAUAUUUCCUUUUUGCUCUAAGUGAAAUUAUUUGUGAAAAUUUUCAUUUGAAAAUAGCUCAGCCAUUUCCAAGGACAUAUGAAGAUGGCAAGAGACUGGUCAAAAAUAACUGAGAGAAUAUGGUUUUUCACACAGGAAGAAGUAUAUCUGUGGAAAUAUUUGCCAAAACGUGCCGCAGGUGAUAAGUUAACGUAAGUUCAAACGGAGGUUGAAAUCUGUCAG